GAUGAACGCUGGCGGUAUGCUUAACACAUGCAAGUCGAACGAGCUCUUCGGAGCUAGUGGCGGACGGGUGAGUAACGCGUGAGAAUCUGUCUUCAGGUCUGGGACAACAGUUGGAAACGACUGCUAAUACCGGAUGUGCCGUGAGGUGAAAGAUAAAUUGCCUGAAGGUGAGCUCGCGUCAGAUUAGCUAGAUGGUGGUGUAAGGGACUACCAUGGUGACGAUCUGUAGCUGGUCUGAGAGGACGAACAGCCACACUGGAACUGAGAAACGGUCCAGACUCCUACGGGAGGCAGCAGUGGGGAAUUUUCCGCAAUGGGCGAAAGCCUGACGGAGCAAUACCGCGUGAGGGAGGAAGGCUCUUGGGUUGUAAACCCUCUUUUCUCUAGGAAGAUAAUGACGGUACUAGAGGAAUAAGCAUCGGCUAACUCCGUGCCAGCAGCCGCGGUAAU
rnacentral:rRNA from 1 species